GACGAAGGGGGCUAGCGUUGUUCGGGAUUACUGGGCGUAAAGCGCGUGUAGGCGGUUGCCCAAGUCGGGUGUGAAAGCCUUGAGCUCAACUCAAGAAAUGCACUCGGUACUGGGUGACUAGAGGACCGGAGAGGAUAGUGGAAUUCCCAGUGUAGUGGUGAAAUACGUAGAGAUUGGGAAGAACACCAGUGGCGAAGGCGGCUAUCUGGACGGUUUCUGACGCUAAGACGCGAAAGCGUGGGGAGCAAACAGG
rnacentral:rRNA from 1 species